rnacentral:rRNA from 1 species
UCUGCCCAGUGAUAUCUAUUAAACGGCCGCUGUUGUGCUAAGGUAGCAUAAUAAUUCGCCUUUUAAUUGGAGGCUAGUAUGAACGAAUAAUUAGGCUAACACUUUAUUUUAGGUAAACAUAAAAAUUAAACUUAAUGUGAAAAUUCAUUAUUUUUCCAAAAAGACCAAAAGACCCUAGGAGCUUUAAUUUUUAAUUACUAAUAAGACACAAAAUUUUAGUUGGGGCGACACAGGAAAACCCUCCUGUUAUUUAUUUUAUAAAAUCUUUUUUACUUCAAUAUACAGCUACCCUAGGGAUAACAGGCUACUCUUUUUUAAAAGUCCAUAUUAACAAAAAGACAUAGCACCUCGAUGUUGGCUUAGGAGUACAUAAAAUGCAGCAGUUUUAUUUAACGGCGUU